UGGGGAAUUUUGGACAAUGGGGGAAACCCUGAUCCAGCCAUCUCGCGUGUGCGAUGAAGGCCUUCGGGUUGUAAAGCACUUUUGGCAGGAAAGAAACGUCGCGGGUUAAUACCCCGCGAAACUGACGGUACCUGCAGAAUAAGCACCGGCUAACUACGUGCCAGCAGCCGCGGUAAUACGUAGGGUGCAAGCGUUAAUCGGAAUUACUGGGCGUAAAGCGUGCGCAGGCGGUUCGGAAAGAAAGAUGUGAAAUCCCAGAGCUUAACUUUGGAACUGCAUUUUUUAACUACCGGGCUAGAGUGUGUCAGAGGGAGGUGGAAUUCCGCGUGUAGCAGUGAAAUGCGUAGAUAUGCGGAGGAACACCGAUGGCGAAGGCAGCCUCCUGGGAUAACACUGACGCUCAUGCACGAAAGCGUGGGGGAGCAAACAGGAUUAGAUACCCUGGUAGUCCACGCCCUAAACGAUGUCAACUAGCUGUUGGGGCCUUCGGGCCUUGGUAG
rnacentral:rRNA from 1 species